ACGCUCGACACCUACGGAAGGCAGCAGUAGGGAAUCUUCCACAAUGGGCGCAAGCCUGAUGGAGCAACACCGCGUGAGUGAAGAAGGGUUUCGGCUCGUAAAGCUCUGUUGUUGGAGAAGAACGUGCGUGAGAGUAACUGUUCACGCAGUGACGGUAUCCAACCAGAAAGUCACGGCUAACUACGUACCAGCAGCCGCGGUAAUCUGAGCGGGCUGGCAAGGC
rnacentral:rRNA from 1 species